rnacentral:pre_miRNA from 1 species
GAAGAUAGGUUAUCCGUGUUGCCUUCGCUUUAUUUGUGACGAAUCAUACACGGUUGACCUAUUUUU